rnacentral:rRNA from 1 species
UACGGAGGAUGCAAGCGUUAUCCGGAAUGAUUGGGCGUAAAGCGUCCGCAGGUGGCUAUGUAAGUCUGCCGUUAAAGAGUGAGGCUCAACCUCAUAAGAGCAGUGGAAACUACAUAGCUAGAGUGCGUUCGGGGCAGAGGGAAUUCCUGGUGUAGCGGUGAAAUGCGUAGAUAUCAGGAAGAACACCGGUGGCGAAAGCGCUCUGCUAGGCCGCAACUGACACUGAGGGACGAAAGCUAGGGGAGCGAAUGGG